UAGGAAGUUUUUUUUAUGGCUCAGAUUGAACGCUGGCGGCAUGCUUUACACAUGCAAGUCGGACGGCAGCACAGAGAAGCUUGCUUCUUGGGUGGCGAGUGGCGAACGGGUGAGUAACAUAUCGGAACGUACCGAGUAAUGGGGGAUAACUAAUCGAAAGAUUAGCUAAUACCGCAUAUUCUCUGAGGAGGAAAGCAGGGGACCUUCGGGCCUUGCGUUAUUCGAGCGGCCGAUAUCUGAUUAGCUGGUUGGUGGGGUAAAGGCCUACCAAGGCGACGAUCAGUAGCGGGUCUGAGAGGAUGAUCCGCCACACUGGGACUGAGACACGGCCCAGACUCCUACGGGAGGCAGCAGUGGGGAAUUUUGGACAAUGGGCGCAAGCCUGGUCCAGCCAUGCCGCGUGUCUGAAGAAGGCCUUCGGGUUGUAAAGGACUUUUGUCAGGGAAGAAAAGGCUGUUGCUAAUAUCGACAGCUGAUGACGGUACCUGAAGAAUAAGCACCGGCUAACUACUCAGCGUUUGGC
rnacentral:rRNA from 1 species